AUGAGGGUGGUACGGGCGUGACCAAAUGGAUUGACGACGUGUGCAGUGCAAGUGACAUUGUGAUCAAAAUGACUCCUCUAGUUUCAUUUGUCGCGUUCUUGCUGAUCGGCAGCGCAGCGGCUGUCGUACGACUGGACUGUAGUGACAACGCGACGUGCAUAGAACAUGCAACCAGGGACAUGAUAAGGAGCUUGAGGCAGCAGAAAGCGGUGAGGAUAUUCGACCUGAUGACGAUCGAGCCAUUGGGAACGAGGCAAGCGAGGUCCAGCCGGGGCUGCUAACGAGAUUUCUAGAGAGUCACGCCUUCAGUUUCGAUUGGAACGACUUCACGUUUAGGAUCUCGCAGCCCCGCGACGGCAGCGACAAGUUGGAGGUAGAAGUGUUCGAGAGCAGGACUGCUAAAGAUGUUUCAGAACCAAGUUCAAAGAAAUCUAGCAGCAAGGCAGAAGAAGAAAAGGAAGAGGACAAAACACCGAAGCUGGGUAUAAGACGCAGACACAAAAAGAAGGUGCUCCAAGUGAUCGUACCAUUGCUGUUUGGCAUGAAGUCUGCCGGGGCAGUCAUAUUCGCGUUUACCUUGGUAGCCGUACUUACGAUAAAGGCAUUCGUUGCCAGCAAGAUGGCGCUCCUGGUGACAGUCGGCAUGGCCAUGAAGAAACUCUACGAUUCUUAUAGUAGCGGCGUCGGUUUACACAACCACCCGUACCUUUACUCGCAAUACCCGAUCGAUUUCCCAAGCGCCUCAUCGCACGCAUACUCCGUUAGCGGAGUGAGCUCACAGUUCGCGUCACCAGAGAUGUAUAACCCAACCGCAUUGGGAACACACGCGCACUCGCACGAAAUACUCCAAAAUGACGCCAGCGCUCAGCAGUCGCAACAGGCAACGACACUGCAACUCGUAAACGCAACGCGAGCCGCGGAGAGAUGGGACGGCUACCGCAGACGUCCAAUGUAUUAUGGAACCUCGCGCGCUACUUCAGAGUCCUAUUCGGCCUUCCGACACCGCCGCUGACCCCUGCCCACACAAUGACCAUGCCAAUGUACGUAAUGCCUCAGAUGUACGAACAGGUCACAGUAACUGUACCGCCGGCAACGUAACAAAAUUGGACAUAUGACUGUUUCAAGGAUCAAGUGACGAUUGUAAACAAACAGCUAAAUGUCAGGUCGUCACGUUUUCUUGAUCCGUGCGUGUGAUAAAAUGUGAUGACCUGGCAUUUAGCUAGCUAACUCGCAGUGUUUUAGCUUAAUUGGCUAUUUCACUAAUGUUUUACUGAAUUAAAUUUUAAACCAGAUGAUAAAAUGCAGCGAGUUAUCCCACCCCUUAAGACUGAUUCUUCUUUCUAACAGCGCGAGCCCGUCGACUUUGUUAAGUAAUUUAUUGUUAAUUAUAAGUAAGGAUUAUUUAUUCAGCACAUAGUGGAAUAAAAUAUUAAUUUGA